CAGGAAUUUGGAAUUCCAAUAGAAGACAUCUGCAAUAGGCAAAAUACUAAGAACAUGACACAAUUAUUACAAAUGUUGGACCCUAACUUCUACCAAGGUUAUGAUUUGAUGUCUUCAAGUUCAAUAGCACAAUAACAUGCAUCAAUAAGUUUUGUCCAAGCACAAGAACUUGAAAAUAAUGAUGAUUCUGAUCAACAAGUUGUUGAAAAUGGGAAAAUUGAAUGAAGAUGCUUAUGAAGAAAUGGAGGACAAGACUGUGGGAUUGCGCUCAUGGAUUAAUUAGACCUUUAAGUGGAAUAAUACUUUGUGCUUAUACUUCAAUUGAUUUUGAUAUUUUUGUUCCAAUUUCUGUUAAUAAACAUUCUUUUGACUAAACUGUAGAAGAUGAGAUAUAUUAGUUGAGAUGCUCUGGAUUCUUGA